ACCCGGCUGGCUCAGUCGGGUGGAGCAUGGGACUCUUGAUCUCGGGGUGGUGAGUUCAAGCCCUACACUGGGUG
rnacentral:tRNA from 1 species